rnacentral:misc_RNA from 1 species
AAAUGCGAUACGUAGUGUGAAUUGCAGAAUUCCGUGAACCAUCGAAUCUUUGAACGCAUAUUGCGCUCGAGCCCUCGGGCAAGAGCAUGUCUGCCUCAGCGUCGGUUUACACCCUCACCCCUCCCACUUUUGUUGGGUGUGUUGGCUUCUAUGCCAGCCAUAGGGGUGGAUCUGGCUUCCCCAAUUCGCUGUAGUGGAUUGGGUUGGCUGAAGUAUAGAGGCUUAAGCAAGGACCCGAUAUGGGCUUCAACUGGAUAGGUAGCACCGGCUUUCGCCGACUACACGAAGUUGUUGCUUGUGGAUCUUGCUAGAGGCCAAGCAGGAACGUGCCUUUGGCAUGUCUAAACUUUCGACCUGAGCUCAGGCAAGGCUACCCGCUGAACUUAAGC